rnacentral:snRNA from 1 species
AAACAUGAUAAUGAUUUGGCUGCAACUUCAGUCACUCCAUUAAGAGUUGAUUCAGCUGAUCUGGCUGGUCAGAUGGGUGUCCCUUUCUUUCCUUAUUGCUUCAUGUAUGUCCCUCCCAAAGCUAUCUACUUGGUGAAAGAGAAUAACCAUGGCAGACAGGAAGAGUGUACCAUUCUUUAAUCAAACAUAUAUGAUAGUUGGGCUCCCCUGCAAGAACCUCCAAACAAGCCAUUUCUAUGCAUUGUUAAAAGCAUUUGAAAGAAUAAAAAUGCACUGUCCUUUGAGACCACAGUAUGGCUGGGGUUGUGUGACUGUAGCCAGUUUAU